rnacentral:lncRNA from 1 species
UAUGAUUUAAUGAGGAAUAUUAAACUUUCAAUAAUUAAUUACCUUUUCAACUCAUUAAUAACGUUAAUUACGUUUUUUGGGACAUGUUCUGAUGGUAUUUUCCAUUUCAUUUACCCACCUAGUACCUAUUUACAAAUAACCGCUAGAAGUCGACAAUAAACCUCAAUCUCUUCUGAAAUAGAGAGAAAUAGAACGGAUCUUGAAACAUGCAAACUAUACCUCGAUUUGGGAUCUUGUAGUCAUGAAAAGGGACGACUAUUAUUUUGAAGCUUUUUUCCGGGCGAUUUGGACGGUCACGUUAAUGUCGCUUAAUGUCGCUGAUUUCACGGAGCGGAACCAUUCUAGCCAAUAAGAGGGCAGAUAUGCGUGAACACAACGUGUUCUACUUUUAUCAACUACACUCGUAACAACCGACGCAUUACGAAACGUCUAUUCCAUCAAAUCAUCCACCCGUAGGCAAAUAAACCAUUACAUUUUUUUUUUUUUUAACAAAAUUCGACACUCUCUCAUUGACCUCCAUACAAAAACUCCUAGCUUGGUGACCAACAAAAACCAAAAACGCCACCUACUGGAGAAGACAUAAUUUGGGCCGAGUUAUCGCUCUCGCUUGGCCUCUUCUUCUCUGGCAUGGUUCUGUUCCCAUCCGCAUGACUGCUUGGACUCUGGGGGAUUCUGGUGAUGAUGGACCUGAGCCCUAGGACCAUGCCUCAGGACUACCUGGUAUGAUGACUCCUUGCUGUCCCCAGUCCACCUGGCCGUGCUGCUGCUCCAGUUUCAACUGUUCUGCCUGCGGCUAUGGAACCCUGACCUGUUCACCGGACGUGCUUGUUGCACCCUCGACAACUACUAUGAUUAUUAUUAUUUGACCAUGCUGGUCAUUUAUGAACAUUUUAACAUCUCGACCAUGUUCUGUUGUAAUAUCCACCCUGCACAGCCAGAAGAGGACUGGCCACCCCUCAUAGCCUGGUUCCUCUCUAGGUUUCUUCCUAGGUUUUUGGCCUUUCUAGGGAGUUUUUCCUAGGGAGUUUUUCCUAGCCACCGUGCUUCUUUCACAUGCAUUGCUUGCUGUUUGGGGUUUUAGGCUGGGUUUCUGUACAGCACUUUGAGAAUAUAAGCUGAUGUACGAAGGGCUAUAUAAAUACAUUUGAUUUGAUUUGAUUUGGGUUAACUGCCUUGUUCAGGGGGCAGAACGACAGAUUUUUACCUUGUCAGACUCAGGGAUUUAAUCUUGCAACCUUUCGGUUACUAGUCCAACGCUCUAACAACUAAACUAAUGACAUUUCACUGCAGUUUCAGCCUAAAGUAGAAUUUUACAUUUACAUUGACACUCCCCCAUUUUGUUUUUACACUGCUGCUACUCGCUGUUUACUAUCUAUGCCUCGACUAACCUGUACCCCCGCACAUUGACUCUGUAUCGGUACCCCCUGUAUAUAGCCUCCACAUUGACUCUGUACCGGUACCCUCUGUAUAUAGCCUCCACAUUGACUCUGUAUCGGUACCCCCUGUAUAUAGCCUCCACAUUGACUCUGUACCGGUACCCCCUGUAUAUAGCCUCCACAUUGACUCUG